CAAGAGGGAAACUAGGGUUCCGGCUGCCUUUAGCGGGAGCGUCUGGUCCAAGAGUUUCCGGCCUCGCAUAACGAGGCUCCACGGAGGGAUAAAAGCCCGGGAGAU
rnacentral:sRNA from 2 species